rnacentral:rRNA from 1 species
UGGGGAAUUUUGCACAAUGGGGGAAACCCUGAUGCAGCGACGCCGCGUGAUUUAGAAGGCCUUCGGGUUGUAAAAAUCUUUUGUAUGGGAAGAAAAUGACAGUACCAUACGAAUAAGGACCGGCUAAUUACGUGCCAGCAGCCGCGGUAAUACGUAAGGUCCGAGCGUUGUCCGGAAUCAUUGGGCGUAAAGAGUGCGUAGGCGGCAAAUUAAGUCAGAUGUGAAAACUAAGGGCUCAACCCAUAGAUUGCAUCUGAAACUGAUAUGCUUGAGUCAAGGAGAGGAAAGUGGAAUUCCUAGUGUAGCGGUGGAAUGCGUAGAUAUUAGGAGGAAUACCGGUGGCGAAGGCGACUUUCUGGACUUGAACUGACGCUGAGGCACGAAAGCGUGGGGAGCAAACAGG